GUCCCCGUCGAUUAGUGGUCAGAUCGUUACGUUGUGGUCCGCGAUCAGGACAUGUCAAUCCGUGAAGACGUGGGCUCGACUCCCACCGGGGACA